rnacentral:rRNA from 1 species
CCUACGGGUGGCAGCAGUGAGGAAUAUUGGUCAAUGGGCGCGAGCCUGAACCAGCCAAGUCGCGUGAGGGAAGACGGUCCUAUGGAUUGUACACCUCUUUUGUCGGGGAGCAAAAGCCGCCACGCGUGGCGUUCCGAGAGUACCCGAAGAAAAAGCAUCGGCUGACUCCGUGCCAGCAGCCGCGGUAAUACGGAGGAUGCGAGCGGUAUCCGGAUUUAUUGGGUUUAAAGGGUGCGCAGGCGGCAUAUCAAGUCAGCGGUAAAAGUGAGAGGCUCAACCGCUUCGAGCCGUUGAAACUGGUGUUCUUGAGUGAGUGAGAAGUAUGCGGAAUGCGUGGUGUAGCGGUGAAAUGCAUAGA